rnacentral:other from 1 species
CUAAUUUUUUCUCAAACAAUAUUUAGAUGGAGUAAAGCAAGCAUGUCAGAACGUUUCGUUGGGACCGUUAAGUGGUUCAACCCCGCUAAGGGUUAUGGUUUCAUUGGCCGCGAAGACGGCGAGGAUGUUUUCGUUCACUUCUCCGCUAUCGAAAUGCAGGGCUAUCGCCAAUUAAAAGAAGGCCAGAAGGUCGAAUUCUCUGUCGAGAAGGGUCCCAAGGGCCUGCAGGCUGCGAACGUAACUCCCGUAGAAGAGUAGUUCCGCUCACACGCACAUUUCAAUCCCCCGCCAUCCGGCGGGGGAUUGUAU